AUGUCAAAACAUUGGGCAUUUUGCCCAAGAAGAUACAAUAAUAUCAAAACACUGAGUGUCACAUAGUCCCCUUGUGCUAAUAAACUGAUGGUGCUGUGGACACACAUUCUGAAAAAGGUGUUCUCCAUUGAUGAGAAACAAGAGUGAUAGCCUGAUCUCAAGCUGUUUCUUGAACUGGAAGUUAAAUAGAGAACGUCAUUAGGAAAACAAAGAUGUAUAGUAGUAAGAAGUAAACGAAUAGCUGAGGAUCAAAGUGCCAAGUGAGAAGAUAGUUUCAAUGAAUUUUAAAGAAACAGCUAUACAGAGAAAAUUUCGAAAAACUUUAUUUGGACAAAAAAGUUAAAUACUGAAAAGCCUGUACAUGCUAAGGAAUGAAAGAUCUGAAUUUUAUUGAAAAACUUUGUUUCGUUCGACAUAAUUAACUUUGAAAUAUUUUAGGUAAAAACUAAUAAAACACUGCCAAAACAAAACAAGCAAAUACAAAACAUAAAGAAGAAAAAUAAACAACAUUCAAAUAGGAAUUCAAAAGAAAAAAAAAUGAAGUUUCUACUCUUUUAAAAUGUAUUUGCUAUUACAUUUGAUAUGUAUUUACAACAUAAAUUUUAAACAGACAGCUGCCAACCAAUUUGAUGCUUAAGCAGGAAGCACUCAAUUUCGUUGUUUGUAACUCUAUAGUUCACUUUAAUUGUACUUGCUAUUAUUUUUAAAUAGAGUUAAACUCCAUUUAAAAAUAAUAGCAAUUUUGUGAAAACUU